GUGGGGAAUAUUGGACAAUGGGCGAAAGCCUGAUCCAGCCAUGCCGCGUGUGUGAAGAAGGUCUUCGGAUUGUAAAGCACUUUAAGUUGGGAGGAAGGGCAGUAAGUUAAUACCUUGCUGUUUUGACGUUACCGACAGAAUAAGCACCGGCUAACUUCGUGCCAGCAGCCGCGGUAAUACGAAGGGUGCAAGCGUUAAUCGGAAUUACUGGGCGUAAAGCGCGCGUAGGUGGUUUUGUAAGUUGGAGGUGAAAUCCCCGGGCUCAACCUGGGAUCUGCCUCCAAAACUGCAUGACUAGAGUACGGUAGAGGGUAGUGGAAUUUCCUGUGUAGCGGUGAAAUGCGUAGAUAUAGGAAGGAACACCAGUGGCGAAGGCGACUACCUGGACUGAUACUGACACUGAGGUGCGAAAGCGUGGGGAGCAAACAGGAUUAGAUACCCUUGUAGUCC
rnacentral:rRNA from 1 species